UACAUCGGAGAGUGCACGUGUACAAUCUGGCGUCAGCUUCGCUCUAAAAUGUGUUGACAGCCAGAGGAAACCGCAAGGAAAUCAAGCAUUUGUGAACCACCGAGUUUCGUGGACGAUGUCAGCAGUUUGUUGGCGCCCUUGAAAGUGAUGCCCUUGCAGCGGCCACCUUCAACAGUGGAAACCGCUGCAGUAGCAUAGGUAGCCGGUUUUGUCGUGAAAGCGAUAGAACAAAGGAUGUGCAACGCCUGCCCAAGACUGAAUGAUUCGGGACCAUCAAUAUCACCAGUGAUGGGACUUAUUAACCACCGAACUAGAGGGGGUUUGGUGUUCCCAAAGCCCGAGUUUGUAGCUGUUCUUGUAAAAGUAAAGAACGCCAUCGACAUCGCAGUGCCACGUAUUGGCACAAACGAUGUGUGCAAGAAGAUCACGGCAAUGAUUUUGCCGCAUCUGGAGAGCUGCCCUCUAUUUAUAUGCGAGGCAAGAGAGGACCAUGCCUCGGUCACAUCCUCAAUAGUGGUAAAGAAAUUCAUAAAGCCCCUCCUAUCAAACAUUGCUGCUCUUGUUACGGACAGAGUGGCCUAUCGCAAAAAAUUAAUGACUAAGCCGCUCAGUCGAAAGGUUUUGCGCGUUUAAACAGCUCGAGCGCGCGCGAGCUGACAACUUUUUAUUGUAAAUAAAUUCCUGCAUACACUGAC